rnacentral:rRNA from 1 species
AUACGGAGGAUCCGAGCGUUAUCCGGAUUUAUUGGGUUUAAAGGGAGCGUAGGUGGACAUGUAAGUCAGUUGUGAAAGUUUGCGGCUCAACCGUAAAAUUGCAGUUGAUACUGUGUGUCUUGAGUACAGUAGAGGUGGGCGGAAUUCGUGGUGUAGCGGUGAAAUGCUUAGAUAUCACGAAGAACUCCGAUUGCGAAGGCAGCUCACUGGACUGUUACUGACACUGAGGCUCGAAAGUGUGGGUAUCAAACAGGAUUAGAUACCCUGGUAGUCCACACAGUAAACGAUGAAUACUCGCUGUUUGCGAUAUACAGCAAGCGGCCAAGCGAAAGCAUUAAGUAUUCCACCUGGGGAGUACGCCGGCAACGGUGAAACUCAAAUGAAUUGACGGGG